rnacentral:rRNA from 1 species
GUCGGAAUUCCUGGUGUAGGGCUGAAAUCUAUAGAUAUCAGGAAGAACACCGUUAGCGAAGGCGGACUUCUGGACGUAAACUGACGCUGAUGUACGAAAGUUAGGGUAGCAAACAGGAUUAGAGACCCUGGUAGUCCUAACCGUAAACGUUGUAUACUAGGUGGUGGCGUUUUGAUCGCGUCACUGCCGUAGCUAACGCAUUAAGUAUACCGCCUGGGGAGUAUGCCGGCAACGGUGAAACUCAAAGGAAUUGACGGGGGCCCGCACAAGCAGUGGAGCAUGUUGUUUAAUUCGAUGAUACGCGAGGAACCUUACCAGGUCUUGACAUAUACCCGGAUGUUCCAGAGAUGGAUCAGUCCUUCGGGACGGGUAUACAGGUGCUGCAUGGUUGUCGUCAGCUCGUGCCGUGAGGUGUUGGGUUAAGUCCCGCAACGAGCGCAACCCUUAUUCUUUGUUGCUAACGCGUUAUGGCGAGCACUCUAAGGAGACUGCCGGUGACAAACCGGAGGAAGGUGGGGAUGACGUCAAAUCAUCACGGCCCUUAUGACCUGGGCUACAAACGUGCUACAAUGGGCGGUACAAAGAGUUGCGAGUCUGUGAAGAGGAGCUAAUCUCAAAAAACCGUCCUCAGUUCGGAUUGGAGUCUGAAACCCGACUCCAUGAAGUUGGAAUUGCUAGUAAUCGCAUAUCAGCCAUGAUGCGGUGAAUAUGUUCCCGGGCAUUGUACACACCGCCCGUCACUAUCACCCGAAUUGACUAUACCCGAUGUGGCUGACCAACCCUUCGGGGAGG